GGCUUAGAGUUUGAUCAUGGCUCAGAGUGAACGCUGGCGGCGUGCCUAAUACAUGCAAGUCGAACGAUGAAGCUUUCAGCUUGCUAGAAGUGGAUUAGUGGCGCACGGGUGAGUAAUGCAUAGGUUAUGUGCCCUUUAGUCUGGGAUAGCCACUGGAAACGGUGAUUAAUACUAGAUACUCCCUACGGGGGAAAGUUUUUCGCUAAAGGAUCAGCCUAUGUCCUAUCAGCUUGUUGGUGAGGUAAUGGCUCACCAAGGCUAUGACGGGUAUCCGGCCUGAGAGGGUGAUCGGACACACUGGAACUGAGACACGGUCCAGACUCCUACGGGAGGCAGCAGUAGGGAAUAUUGCUCAAUGGGGGAAACCCUGAAGCAGCAACGCCGCGUGGAGGAUGAAGGUUUUCGGAUUGUAAACUCCUUUUGUUAGAGAAGAUAAUGACGGUAUCUAACGAAUAAGCGCCGGCUAACUCCGUGCCAGCAGACGCGGUAAUACGGAGGGUGCAAGCGUUACUCGGAAUCACUGGGCGUAAAGAGCGCGUAGGCGGGGUAGUAAGUCAGAUGUGAAAUCCUAUGGCUUAACCAUAGAACUGCAUUUGAAACUACUACUCUAGAGUAUGGGAGAGGUAGGUGGAAUUCUUGGUGUAGGGGUAAAAUCCGUAGAGAUCAAGAGGAAUACUCAUUGCGAAAGGCGACCCGCUGGAACAUUACUGACGCUGAUGCGCGAAAGCGUGGGGAGCAAACAGGAUUAGAUACCCUGGUAGUCCACGCCCUAAACAAUGAAUGCUAGUUGUUGUGAGGCUUGUCCUUGCAGUAAUGCAGCUAACGCAUUAAGCAUUCCGCCUGGGGAGUACGGUCGCAGAUUAAACUCA
rnacentral:rRNA from 1 species